CACGUAGGGCGCAAGCGUUGUCCGGAAUUAUUGGGCGUAAAGAGCUCGUAGGCGGUCUGUUGCGUCCGCUGUGAAAACUCGGGGCUUAACCCCGAGCCUGCAGUGGAUACGGGCAGACUAGAGGUAGGUAGGGGAGAAUGGAAUUCCCGGUGUAGCGGUGAAAUGCGUAGAUAUUAGGAAGAACACCAGUGGCGAAGGCGGCUCACUGGUCCGGUACUGACGCUGAGGUGCGAAAGCGUGGGGAGCAAACAGG
rnacentral:rRNA from 1 species